AAUCGUAACAAGGUUUCCGUAGGUGAACCUGCGGAAGGAUCAUUACCUAGAGUUUGUGGGCUUUGCCCACUGUCUCUUACCCAUGUCUUUUGAGUACUUACGUUUCCUCGGUGGGCUCGCCCGCCGGUUGGACAAUUUAAACCAUUUGCAGUUGCAAUCAGCGUCUGAAAAACAUAAUAGUUACAACUUUCAACAACGGAUCUCUUGGUUCUGGCAUCGAUGAAGAACGCAGCGAAAUGCGAUAAGUAGUGUGAAUUGCAGAAUUCAGUGAAUCAUCGAAUCUUUGAACGCACAUUGCGCCCCUUGGUAUUCCAUGGGGCAUGCCUGUUCGAGCGUCAUUUGUACCUUCAAGCUCUGCUUGGUGUUGGGUGUUUGUCUCGCCUUGCGCGUAGACUCGCCUUAAAACAAUUGGCAGCCGGCGUAUUGAUUUCGGAGCGCAGUACAUCUCGCGCUUUGCACUCAUAACGACGACGUCCAAAAGUACUUUUUACACUCUUGACCUCGGAUCAGGUAGGGAUACCCGCUGAACUUAAGCAUAUC
rnacentral:rRNA from 1 species